AUUGAACGCUGGCGGCAUGCCUUACACAUGCAAGUCGAACGGCAGCACGGACUUCGGUCUGGUGGCGAGUGGCGAACGGGUGAGUAAUGUAUCGGAACGUACCUUUCAGUGGGGGAUAACGUAGCGAAAGUUACGCUAAUACCGCAUAUUCUGUGAGCAGGAAAGCAGGGGAUCGCAAGACCUUGCGCUGAUUGAGCGGCCGAUAUCAGAUUAGCUAGUUGGUGAGGUAAAGGCUCACCAAGGCGACGAUCUGUAGCGGGUCUGAGAGGAUGAUCCGCCACACUGGAACUGAGACACGGUCCAGACUCCUACGGGAGGCAGCAGUGGGGAAUUUUGGACAAUGGGGCAACCCUGAUCCAGCCAUGCCGCGUGAGUGAAGAAGGCCUUCGGGUUGUAAAGCUCUUUCGGCCGGGAAGAAAUCGCAUAGGUUAAUACCCUGUGUGGAUGACGGUACCGGAAUAAGAAGCACCGGCUAACUACGUGCCAGCAGCCGCCGCAGUAA
rnacentral:rRNA from 1 species